rnacentral:tRNA from 1 species
GCCGGUUUAGCUUUGUGGUAGAGCGUCAGUCUUGUAAACUGAAGGUCGGCAGUUUGAUUCUGCCAUUCGGCU